rnacentral:misc_RNA from 1 species
CAUAGGGCUGUCUCUUCACUCUUCCACCCGUCAUUGAACAUGUCGUGGUCGGGAUGCUUCCGAUCGGUUGCCUGUGCGGUUCUACCCUCUUGUGGGUAGCGAAGUCGUCCCUUGAUGGAUAUUUGCUUGCCCUUGUGACAUUUUUGUGUCGUUCGGGCAGCCGAAAUGUCGGCGAUAUCCUUGUGUUGGCGCGUGGUCGAAUGCYGUGUUGCUAUCACUUGGGUUUUUGCCGGCUCUCACGGAUGCGGUGCCUAGCGCUUGCUCUGYGGGACUUUGCCCCRCAGAGUUCGGGAGGUCCCUUGUACGAAUCAUUGCUCUUAUACGCCGUCUUGUCGUGCCGCUGCCGCGGCACGCAGAUCGUGUUCUUUCGUGCAGUCGUUGACAGCACGAUAGCGAACAUUAGUGUCCGGAGCGUGGCCUUGUGCACGUGGAAUGCCUCUCMGAUCGUAUGAGYAGCGAUUUCCGGUUYGYGUCAC